AUUGAACGCUGGCGGCAGGCCUAACACAUGCAAGUCGAACGAGUGGCGGACGGGUGAGUAAUGUCUGGGAAACUGCCCGAUGGAGGGGGAUAACUACUGGAAACGGUAGCUAAUACCGCAUACCAUCGGAUGUGCCCAGCUGGGAUUAGCUUGUAGGUGAGGUAACGGCUCACCUAGGCGACGAUCCCUAGCUGGUCUGAGAGGAUGACCAGCGCAACGGGAACGGAGACACGGUCCAGACUCCGAUGGGAGGCAGCAGGGGGGAAUAUUGCACAAUGGGCGCAAGCCGUAUGCAGCCAUGCCGCGUGUAUGAAGAAGGCCUUCGGGUUGUAAAGUACUUUCAGCGGGGAGGCGUUACCCGCAGAAGAAGCACCGGCUAACUCCGUGCCAGCAGCCGCGGUAAUAC
rnacentral:rRNA from 1 species